UACGGGGGGGGCAAGCGUUGUUCGGAAUUACUGGGCGUAAAGGGCUCGUAGGCGGCCAACUAAGUCAGACGUGAAAUCCCUCAGCUUAACUGGGGAACUGCGUCUGAUACUGGAUGGCUUGAGUUCGGGAGAGGGAUGCGGAAUUCCAGGUGUAGCGGUGAAAUGCGUAGAUAUCUGGAGGAACACCGGUGGCGAAGGCGGCCAACUGGACUGGUAUUGACGCUGAGGCGCGAAAGCGUGGGGAGCAAACAGG
rnacentral:rRNA from 1 species